rnacentral:rRNA from 1 species
UACGAAGGGUGCAAACGUUGCUCGGAAUUAUUGGGCGUAAAGCGCACGUAGGCGGCUUUGUGUGUCGGAUGUGAAAUCCCUCGGCUCAACCAAGGAAGUGCAUUCGAAACUGCAAAGCUUGAGUACUUAAGAGGAUCGCGGAAUUCCCGGUGUAGAGGUGAAAUUCGUAGAUAUCGGGAGGAACACCAGUGGCGAAGGCGGCGAUCUGGGAAGAUACUGACGCUGAGGUGCGAAAGCGUGGGGAGCGAACAGG